AACGAACGCUGGCGGCAUGCCUAAUACAUGCAAGUCGAACGAGAUCUUCGGAUCUAGUGGCGCACGGGUGCGUAACGCGUGGGAAUCUCCCCUUGGGUUCGGAAUAACUUCUGGAAACGGAAGCUAAUACCGGAUGAUGACGUAAGUCCAAAGAUUUAUCGCCCAAGGAUGAGCCCGCGUAGGAUUAGGUAGUUGGUGAGGUAAAGGCUCACCAAGCCGACGAUCCUUAGCUGGUCUGAGAGGAUGAUCAGCCACACUGGGACUGAGACACGGCCCAGACUCCUACGGGAGGCAGCAGUAGGGAAUAUUGGACAAUGGGCGAAAGCCUGAUCCAGCAAUGCCGCGUGAGUGAUGAAGGCCUUAGGGUUGUAAAGCUCUUUUACCCGGGAUGAUAAUGACAGUACCGGGAGAAUAAGCUCCGGCUAACUCCGUG
rnacentral:rRNA from 1 species